rnacentral:rRNA from 1 species
GUGCCAGCCGCCGCGUAAUUCCAGCUCCAAUAGCGUAUAUUAAAGUUGUUGUGGUUAAAAAGCUCGUAGUUGAACCUUGGGCCUGGCUGGCCGGUCCGCCUCACCGCGUGCACUGGUCCGGCCGGGCCUUUCCCUCUGUGGAACCCCAUACCCUUCACUGGGCGUGGCGGGGAAACAGGACAUUUACUUUGAAAAAAUUAGAGUGCUCCAGGCAGGCCUAUGCUCGAAUACAUUAGCAUGGAAUAAUAAAAUAGGACGCGCGGUUCUAUUUUGUUGGUUUAUAGGACCGCCGUAAUGAUUAAUAGGGACAGUCGGGGGCAUCAGUAUUCAACUGUCAGAGGUGAAAUUCUUGGAUCAGUUGAAGACUAACUACUGCGAAAGCAUUUGCCAAGGAUGUUUUCAUUAAUCAGGAACGAAAGUUAGGGGAUCGAAGACGAUCAGAUACCGUCGUAGUCUUAACCAUAAACUAUGCCGACUAGGGAUCGGACGGUGUUAUUCAUGACCCGUUCGGCACCUUACGAGAAAUCAAAGUGCUUGGGCUCCAGGGGGAGUAUGGUCGCAAGGCUGAAACUUAAAGAAAUUGACGGAAGGGCACCACCAGGGGUGGAGCCUGCGGCUUAAUUUGACUCAACACGGGGAAACUCACCAGGUCCAGACACAAUAAGGAUUGACAGAUUGAGAGCUCUUUCUUGAUUUUGUGGGUGGUGGUGCAUGACCGUUCUUAGUUGGUGGGGUGACUUGUCUGCUUAAUUGCGAUAACGG